rnacentral:rRNA from 1 species
GGUCGAACAGACCUAAUGUAUUAGCUUCUACACCAAUAAUUUAUUUUAAUCCAACAUCGAGGUCGCAAUCCCUUUUUUCGAUAAGAACUCUAAAAAAGAUUACGCUGUAAUCCCUAAGGUAAUUUUAUCUUGUAAUCUAAAUAUUAGGAUCAACAACUCAUAAAUAAAUGUUUCAGUAUAAAAAAAGUUUAUUUAAUUUAUCUAUCACCCCAACCAAAUACAAAAACAAUAAAUCUACUGUAUCAACCUAAAAAAUUAAGAUAUUUUUGCUUCUGUAUAAAACUCUAUAGGGUCUUCUCGUCUUCCAUAACAAUUUAAGCUUUCUCACUCAAAAAUAAAAUUCUAAUAAAUUUUUAUAGAGACAGUAAUUUUUUCAUCAAACCUUUCAUCCAAGCUUUCAAUUAAAAAACUAAUGAUUAUGCUACCUUUGCACGGUCAAUAUACCGCGGCCAUUUAACUACUCAGUGGGCAGGUCAGACCUGAAAUCAUUAUCAACAAGCCAUGUUUU